CCUAGGGCGGCAGCAGUGGGGAAUAUUGGACAAUGGGCGAAAGCCUGAUCCAGCCAUGCCGCGUGUGUGAAGAAGGCCUUCGGGUUGUAAAGCACUUUCAGUGGGGAAGAAAGCCUUGGGGCUAAUACCCUCGAGGAAGGACAUCACCCACAGAAGAAGCACCGGCUAACUCCGUGCCAGCAGCCGCGGUAAUACGGAGGGUGCGAGCGUUAAUCGGAAUUACUGGGCGUAAAGCGCGCGUAGGCGGUCUGAUAAGCCGGUUGUGAAAGCCCCGGGCUCAACCUGGGAACGGCAUCCGGAACUGUCAGGCUAGAGUGCAGGAGAGGAAGGUAGAAUUCCCGGUGUAGCGGUGAAAUGCGUAGAGAUCGGGAGGAAUACCAGUGGCGAAGGCGGCCUUCUGGACUGACACUGACGCUGAGGUGCGAAAGCGUGGGUAGCAAACAGGAUUAGAUACCCUGUAGUC
rnacentral:rRNA from 1 species